UAUGCAUUAGCAUUUGGCGCUCUGGUUCCCAGGCGGCAUCAAUGGGCCAGGGAAAGGGGAUCAGAGUGCGUGGAUCCAUCCGACUUGAUUAGACGGGCAGCAUUCCUGCUGUGGCAAGCCAACAAGCCAGGAGGGCGAUGGACACAAAUAGAUCAGCAGAGAGUGAAGGUGGGUCCGCCUCGCCCCCUCAGAGUGCAAGCGAGGCCACCUGAUCCUAAUACACGUCACGCAGCCAGCCCGCACCUAAAUUUAGACCACGUUUACUGUGAUGGGGCGGGGAGAUGCCAGUAAUGGGUCACGUGUUUAGUUAUCAAAUUGUCAAAUCAUGCAAAUUAGCAUGUUUGAUGCUUUGUACUUGGAUGUCAUGCAUACAUCAGUAUGCACGGAUUUAUCAGUAUGUUAAAUCAGAUGGAGCGAGUUCCGUUUGGAAUCUCACCUAAGAGUGUUCCUGUAAAAGAGGCGAGGAUGCUGCAUCCUAAAUGGAUAGGAGGCCAGACAUUGGUUGCUUGCUCAAAAGUCAGAUGAGUGAUGGUGACGUGAGGUUAGCCUCCAAAUUGGAACAAUGUUGCUGUUAAAUUCACAAAUUCAGCAUGCAUUUGAUUUCAGUCAAUUAUCCUAAUUACCUAAUGCAAAAAAAAAAAAAAAAAGUUACAUAAAUGUGAAGCUCUUGGUUAAGAAGAAUCACAUUGUAUUUGACAUUAUUUGCUGCGAACAUAAUUCAUUCUGUCUUCCUUUUAUGAAAGGCUAAUACAAACACUGGUGGCCAUAAAAUAGCACUUUGUUGACACUCUAAGAGCAUUAUCAACGUCCUGUAAUGAUUUCCAUUAUAUAUUAACCAUAGCUCGCUCACUGUACACAUUGACACGCUGAUCCUUUCCUGCCUAUACUUAGCACAUGUUGAUGAAGACUUUCAGAACAUAUAGGCUGGAUCCGGUCAUGCGUGCAGAC